UACGUAGGGGGCAAGCGUUGUCCGGAAUCAUUGGGCGUAAAGAGCGUGUAGGCGGCCUGAUAAGUCGGCUGUGAAAGUCAAGGGCUCAACCCUUGAAUGCCGGCCGAUACUGUCAGGCUAGAGUCCGGAAGAGGCGAGUGGAAUUCCUGGUGUAGCGGUGAAAUGCGCAGAUAUCAGGAGGAACACCUAUGGCGAAGGCAGCUCGCUGGGACGGUACUGACGCUGAGGAGCGAAAGCGUGGGGAGCAAACAGG
rnacentral:rRNA from 1 species